rnacentral:rRNA from 1 species
AUUGAACGCUGGCGGUAUGCUUAAGACAUGCAAGUCGAACGGUAACAGACCUUCGGGUGCUGACGAGUGGCGGACGGGUGAGUAACACGUGGGAAUCUACCUUGUAGUGGGGGAUAAGCCAGGGAAACUUGGACUAAUACCGCAUACGCCCUAAGGGGGAAAGGAGCAAUUCGCUAUAAGAUGAGCCCGCGUCUGAUUAGCUAGUUGGUGAGGUAAAGGCUCACCAAGGCGACGAUCAGUAGCUGGUCUGAGAGGAUGACCAGCCACAUUGGGACUGAGACACGGCCCAGACUCCUACGGGAGGCAGCAGUCGGGAAUAUUGGACAAUGGGGGCAACCCUGAUCCAGCAAUACCGCGUGUGUGAAGAAGGCCUGCGGGUUGUAAAGCACUUUUAGUAGGGAAGAUAAUGACGUUACCUACAGAAAAAGCACCGGCUAACUCCGUGCCAGCCGCCGCCGUAACAC